AUAUUUCUUCAGGUCACAGUGUCUCUGUGCUGAUGUGCAUGAGAGGCUUCUUACAGUGAAGUGAAACCAUGUGACUGGUGAAGCAGAAAAACCUUGUGACACAAAAUCAGCUCUCACACAGGAAACAUGUCCGAGUGUGUGGCGUUCCACCGACAGCUGUGUCCUCUCUGUGCUCUAAACUGACUCUUGUCUCCUAGGUGACGUCAGUCCCACUCUGACAGUGCUGCCGCCGUCACGUGAGGAGCUGGACCAGGGGAAGGCCACGCUCAUGUGUCUGGCCAACAAGGGCUUCCCCUCAGCCUGGACUCUGUCCUGGAAGUUGGACGGCAGCAGCAGCAGCAGCAGCAGCAGCAGCUGGGAGCAGAGCAUGAGCCGCGGGCUGCUGGAGAAGGACGGUCUCUACAGCUGGAGCAGCAUCCUGAGGCUUUCUGCUGACCAGUGGAGGAAGGUGGGCUCUGUGACCUGUGAGGCCACCCAGGGCUCCCAGAUUCUCUCAGAGACACUGAGGACAGACCAGUGUUCCUAGUCCUGACCUGACUCACUGACACUCUGCUACUGGUUUUACUCUGCAUUUCUGUCUCUUUUCUCACAAUUUAAAGUUUGAAAACUUCUCGCUCAUGUUGAUCCUGACUCUUUCAACUUUUUCCACAUAAUAAAUUUGUUUGUGUUUCAUUAAAAAA